AAUUCCAAAAUAUGCUAGACCUUUCCACACUUUACACCUUGACCAUUUAGGCCCUUUUGUUAAAACAACACAAAAUAAUGCUUAUCUUUUGGUAAUAGUAGAUUCUUUUACUAAAUUUGUGUUUAUUGUCGCUGUCAAAAAUACCAAAAGCAAAAUAGUUAUCAACGAAUUAAAUAAGAUUUUCAAAAUAUUCGGGAACCCUAAAAGACUGAUUUGUGAUGCCGGAAGCGCUUUUACAUCAAAAUUAUUUACUGGUUAUUGUAAUGAUCAUAAUAUUCGACGUCAUAUUAUUGCCACAGCCGUACCACGUUCGAACGGUCAAGUCGAACGAUAUAAUCGAACCAUUUUAGAUGCGUUACGGAGUCUUAGCGCAGAUGCAAAUAACAAUAAAUGGGAUCAACAUGUAACCCAAAUACAACAAGGUAUAAACAGUACAAUAAACAAAAGUACUGCAGCAGUACCUAGUGAAGUAUUUUUUGGAUACAGAAUUCGGAUGAUGAAUGAUAGAAUUGCUGAUGAGGAUAAUACAGAAAAAUCGGUUGACGUGACAGCCUUGCGUGACAAAGUAGAUCAAAACAUUAAAAGAGCUGCUCAAGCACAAAAAGCAGCUUUCGACUCUAAAAGGAAAUUGGCUACUAAUUAUAAUAUUGGAGACUUGGUUGUGAUUAAAAUACCAAGUCACUCAAAUGACGGUCACAGCACAAAGUUAAUGCCAUUGUUUAAAGGACCUUUCCAAAUAACAGAAGUCCUAGGGCAUGACCGUUAUAAAGUAUCCGAUAUGAGAGGAGCGGAGCGGAGUACAAAACGUUAUGAUGGCGUAACCUGCGCAGAGAAUAUGAAGUUUUGGAUACGCAUUUCGGAUGAGGGCGAGGAGGAAGUUGCACCGGAUGUUGUCCAGUAAUCAGGUACUCAUUGAAACACAUCUUCCACAUUAGACCAAUACGAUGUCCGAGGACGACCACGUAUGCAGGACGGCCGGAUGUUGUCGCCACAGUCGUUUCCGCCCGGAAGUACAAUUUGCCGCCGCUAGAGGGCGACACCGAGACGUCAUUCGAACAACGAGCGGCCACUCGAUCAUUCCUUGUCGAAGCGUCGAGCUAGUAACACUCACCUUGUCUUGCUGAAAGCUAUUAUUAUUUUUAAGAAAACAAAGUACAAUUAUUAUUUUUAUAAGUGAUUUUUAUUUUAAAUUGGUAAUAUUGUAAAAGAGUAAAGUAUCAUUUCAAUUAUUAAUAAAUAUGAUUUCACUAUAGAAAAUUGAGCUAUAAUAAUUAUUACGAUGGUGAGAUUGUGUAGGUAAUGUAGCUAAAUAUUAAUAAAAGUGUUUUUGCAGAA